rnacentral:rRNA from 1 species
CCUACGGGAGGCAGCAGUGGGGAAUUUUGGACAAUGGGCGCAAGCCUGAUCCAGCAAUGCCGCGUGAGUGAAGAAGGCCUUCGGGUUGUAAAGCUCUUUUGUCAGGGAAGAAACGGUGGGGGCUAAUAUCUCUUGCUAAUGACGGUACCUGAAGAAUAAGCACCGGCUAACUACGUGCCAGCAGCCGCGGUAAUACGUAGGGUGCAAGCGUUAAUCGGAAUUACUGGGCGUAAAGCGUGCGCAGGCGGUUUUGUAAGUUUGUCGUGAAAUCCCCGGGCUCAACCUGGGAAUGGCGAUGAAGACUGCAAGGCUAGAAUCUGGCAGAGGGGGGUAGAAUUCCACGUGUAGCAGUGAAAUGCGUAGAGAUGUGGAGGAACACCGAUGGCGAAGGCAGCCCCCUGGGUCAAGAUUGACGCUCAUGCACGAAAGCGUGGGGAGCAAACAGGAUUAGAUACCCUGGUAGUCCACGCCCUAAACGAUGUCUACUAGUUGUCGGGUUUUAAUUAACUUGGUAACGCAGCUAACGCGUGAAGUAGACCGCCUGGGGAUACGGUCGCAAGAUUAAAACUCAAAGGAAUUGACGG